UCGGAGCGCGCAGUCCCGGCGACGUGCUGGGGUCUGGAGGCGGGUCGAUUGGCUCCGACAGCCUUCCUCCCGCCGGCUCCCGCUCCCCUCACACCCAGGACCCGGGCCGUUCCCUUUCAAAACCUGCGCGCACAAAGGGAUCUGAGGAAGCCGUCACACCAGAGAAAGCCCCGAGUUCAUGUGACCAGCGCGGUGCAGCCCGGGUCCCAGGGCAGCGGGCUGCGGUUCCCGGGGUGGCGAGCGGUAUUUCACUGAGUACUUAAAACUCCUGUUUCCCCUGAGGGGAAGGAAGACAAACCUGCCGCCAGGAACUUCUGCACACAUCUCACUCCGGAGAGGGACCUAGACAUGGAUUACCGGGUGACAGGAGCACCUUCAGCUUUCCCAGUCUUCCCAGAGGGCUCACAGGAGGUAGCUCCCACAGUAAUACAUGAUCUGUUUUCUGGUCCUUGCCAACUCUUAGUGAUGAGGGACUUAGAUCAUUUCCCAAUUUAAGGAGUAGGAACUGGUAACGCAUUAUUUAUUUAUUUAUUUUUUAAAUAUUAUUUUUUAGUUGUAGUUGGACAUAAUACCUUUAUUUUUUUAUUUAUUUUUAUGUGGCUAAGGAUUGAAUCCAGGGCUUUGCAUGUGCUAGGCAAGCAAUCUACCGCUGAGCCACAACCCUAGCCUGAUAACUCGUUAUUUUAAUUUGCAUUUAUAGUUGUAUUUCCCCAUCAAAGAAAUUGAACAUUUUCAUAUUUAUGCUACUGACAUUUUCUUCCUCUGUGAAUUUGUUCUUCACAUCCUUUGCCUUUUUCUCUUGUAAGGCUUUUGUCUUACUGGUUUAUAGAGGUUUUGUAAACAGUAUAAUCUGGGCAUUAAUCCCAUCACUGAACAUUGAAGAUAAUUGUGGGAAGCCAUUCUUGCACAUGAUUGGGCACCUCCCUGAUUGGGUGUGAGGGGUUCUGGCCAAACUGUGUGGGAGCUAAUCCCCACCCUCUCCAGGUGCAAGAGCCUGUCCAUGUUGGGGGUGUGACUGACCAUUGACCCUGAGACCAAUCAUUGACUCUGACCUUGGAGUGCUGCCCCCCUCGACCUUCAUUGGAUGGAGUUUUCCCCUGAAUUUCUUGUUCCCCAAUAAAAGGCUACUCCCUG